ACACACACACACACACGCACAAAGUGUUACAAUAAACAGCUCUUAUGCUUCUGUAUAAUUCUCAAUGCUUUCCAUUUGUGUGUCCACAGAUUGCAGGUAAGUGGUGCUUGACUGAAGUUUGCUCUAAUUUCAGGUGGUUUGUCUGUCGUAAAGCCAAUAUGAAGUCCGGCCAUGGUUGAGCCAACUGAAGAUGGGGUUUUAAGGUGGCAUUCUCAUUUCCUCUCGAUACAUGUUGGAAAAUGGAGACUUUAGCCACCAAGACUGACGUGCCUGGAAACUUCCCUUCACGGGCUUUGUGACUGAAAUGCGUGUGGUCGAUGGGAAGCCUGACGAGUACGGCCUGAAUCAUUACAUCAACACCGGACGGAGUGAAACCUUUGUUGAAAACAGAUUAUAUGGACGCAGUCUGGACCUCAGCGCUGAGGAGAAGUUCAACCAGCUCUGCUUGCAGACCGACAUCCUUCCUGAAAAUAUUCUUCAUCUUCCUAAAACUUUUACAUUGGUGCUGAAGUUCUAUAUAAAAACAGCCUGAAAUACAAACUGAUGUUGUGCACUGAUUACCUCACACUGUCCAUGUUUCCUUCU